rnacentral:rRNA from 1 species
UACAGAGGUCCCAAGCGUUGUUCGGAUUCACUGGGCGUAAAGGGUGCGUAGGUGGCCAGGUAAGUUCGGUGUGAAAGCUCGGAGCUUAACUCCGAAAUGUCAUUGAAUACUAUCUGGCUAGAGGGUCGGAGGGGAGACUGGAAUUCUCGGUGUAGCAGUGAAAUGCGUAGAUAUCGAGAGGAACACCAGUGGCGAAGGCGAGUCUCUGGACGACACCUGACACUGAGGCACGGAAAGCUAAGGGGAGCAAACCAGGG